GGUUAAAAAUUCCAUCCAUUUCUAUUGGUAAAAACUGGCGUGGCUGAUGUAAUAACUAGGCAUUGACACUACCUCAUGUUGAUGUAUAUAGACAAGUUUUUAACAAUAGAAAUAGAUUAAAUUUUAACA
rfam:Gossypium raimondii Chr11_contig_1278, whole genome shotgun sequence.